GAUUAUAUUGUUUCUUAAAAAAUUUUAUUUUUCUAUGGGGAGACAGAAGAAGCGGAGACAGGAGCCGAGAAAGUUGCUCGCGCGUGGACUCGAUUGGAGACAGUGACAUUGGUUAAACAACGCCGAGAGCUGUGUGAUAUUACGCAAGCUGUAUGGACGAUCACAGAUCUACGUAGAAGGGAAAAGGAGAAAGGAAAAUCUACGCUUAGCAUUCCAAGUCGAGGAGGAGCUCAGAAGCUCCGUUAGAAUCGAGAGUGAACGCAAUUUUGACGUUGGCUCACAUACAUACAUGCAAGAACGUCCGAGGUGCGUCACUGACUGAAUUGCAUGGAUGGUUAUGGGUUUUUAAGGUGCAACGUGCGAUGGAAACGAGAGUGGAAUCGUCGAACGUGUCUCACGACUGUGGUUUCCCUCCUUUUCUCUCUUU